GUGAAUCAUCGAAUUUUUGAACGCAAAUUGCACUCUCUGGUAUUCCGGAGAGUAUGCCUGUUUGAGGGUCAGUUAAAUAAAAAUCGGGGUGGUUGCUGCUUUUCGUGGUGACGCCCCGGGUUUGGGUCGUCUUGCCUUUGGUUAAGGGACCUAAAAUUUUGCAUGGUUUUUUUGAACGUAUUUUAAUGUUUUUAUGUAUGUUUGUGCUAUAG
rnacentral:misc_RNA from 1 species